rnacentral:rRNA from 1 species
AUUGAACGCUGGCGGCAUGCUUUACACAUGCAAGUCGAGCGGCAGCGCGGGGCAACCCUGGCGGCGAGCGGCGAACGGGUGAGUAAUGCAUCGGAACGUACCCUGGAGUGGGGGAUAACGCCGCGAAAGCGGCGCUAAUACCGCAUAUGCUCUGAGGAGGAAAGUGGGGGGACCGCAAGGCCUCACGCUCUGGGAGCGGCCGAUGUCCGAUUAGCUAGUUGGUGGGGUAAAGCUUACCAAGGCGACGAUCGGUAGCUGGUCUGAGAGGAUGAUCAGCCACACUGGGACUGAGACACGGCCCAGACUCCUACGGGAGGCAGCAGUGGGGAAUUUUGGACAAUGGGGGCAACCCUGAUCCAGCCAUGCCGCGUGAGUGAAGAAGGCCUUC